CCUCGCGUUCCCCUACCCUAGCCGCCUCCUGUCUCAUCUCUUCUCUCUCCAAGUCUCCAAGGAAAGAAAGAAAGCUCUCUCUCUCUCUCUCUCUCUCAUGUCCUCCUCCGAGCCUGAGCCUGCCAUGGCGCUCUUCUGCCCAUUUAUCCUACCCAGCUCGCUGACCUUGGCUCCGACGGCAAACUUCUUCCUGGUUGCAUGCCAAUCGGAUCCACCCAUGGACUAUCUCUUGUGGUGCAGCCUCAAGAUGUUCACGGACGGGGCGGUGAGAUCUAUCGAUUGGUUCUCCAAUCAACAGCCGGAUGCGUCCGAAUUUCUAGUGGUGCCAACCUAAGAUGAACACGGAUGCCAAGGUACACCUUCGAUUCAAUCAGAUUCAUCCCAUCCGUGGACCAACUCAGAAAAAAAAAAGAUUCAACCAAGAGCCGGAUGAGUCCGAAACUCUGAGAUGCCACGAUAGUAGUAGUGAUUUAUCUCUCUGGUUGAUUACCAUCAGACCUAGAUCCGCUAGUGUAUGCCACCACAAGAGCCACGUCAACUUGGAAGAUAUUAAAUCUUCUACUCCUCCUUUUUCUGCUACUCCGCCCUAAGAGCAUCUAGCAAAUAUGAACUCCUGUAUGUCUGUGUACAGCCCUUAAAUGCCCCGGCCACAACCGUCCCCUCAUAUGCAAAUCGCCAAAUCCUACAAUAUCAUGCAACACAGACCUACACACAUACUCCCUCCGUUCGGAAUUACUUGUCACAAAAAUGAAUGAAAAUGAAUGCAUCUACAACUAAAAUACAUGUAGAUACAUUCGUUCCUCCGACAAGUAUUUUCGGAUGGAGGGAGUACUUCAUACUUCAUAUAGGAGAUAGCGCAUAGUUCAUCAAGGACAUAGCGAACUAGGUCAUAGCAUAAGGGAGUUCAUCAUCAUAUAUGACAUCGGACCGCAGAAAUUAGGCAUGUUCUACUAGUUAAAAUAGGGAUCUCACAGCACUCGAAGAUGACAUAGGGAUCGAGACGGAUUUGCUCGGCGCCGUAGCUGUAGGUGUUGGAUGCGGCAUCAGUCUCCUCCUGUUCAUUUGGGGGCAGGUUGUGCGAGGGCACGGACCACCCAUGUCUGCUCCACCACGUGUGGGUUUGUGGAUGCCGGAUAGCCCGGACGUUUGGGCUGUCUGCCCGGUCGUUUAGAGCAUCUACAACGGAUUUAGCAAAUCCGGUCCCUCAAACGCCUGUGGACGCGCUGGGGCUCGUCUGCCGACACUGACCGGUCACGCAUCAAAUUUCUCUUCUCACGACCGGACACCUCAAUUAGCACACCUCAAAUCCAUACAAACUCAUGCAACUACAUAUUAGGACAUGCCAUCAGACUACAAAAAAAAAUGGCAUGUUUGACCUACAUACUAGCUAUUGAGAAGAUCAUCCACGACUACCCUUGCCCUUCCCGGCGCCCUUGCUGUCCUUCUCACGGAAGUAGCGGUCGAAGACGCAGUAUGGAUCGAGCCGGAUCUGCCUGUCACCGGAGCCGUCCGACCCAUCGUGGUCCUCCUUCUCCUCCUUGGGGGCAGUCUGGCUAUGGCACGGACCGCCUGAUUCUGCUCUCGAGCGAGGGCGCACGUGUUACAAUGCCGACGCGGACGGCUUCCUCCUCUACGGGAGCGCGUGUCGCCGCAUCAGCCGCCAUGUUGGCAGCGACUCAGGCCUCGGCGGCCCUCAUCCUCUCCUUCCCGUGGCGGGCACACCGGCCCCGAUAGGACUCAUACUCCGGCAGACCGGUGAUGGGGCGUCCCAUAUCCAUCCUACAUUUGAGCUGGAUAUGAGGGGUGUCGAGUAGUCUGGGUCGUUUGAGCCAUUCAUGAGGGUCUUUUUUGGUGACCGGUCACUGAUCGGGCUGUCCGUCUUGACGUUUGAGACGGGUUUGAGGCAUUCGGGUAUAGAUGCUCUUAGUUGGAAAAAGUAAGAUCCGGUUGUGAUGCUCUAAGAACUGAUUUUUUAUCUACCACCGGCGGCCGGACGCACUCAAUCGAUUGGAGGCUUGGAGGCUUGGAGCCCACUGGACUGGUGCAAACCCGGCUCAAUCAUCACCCGCUGCUCUCUACAGCUCUCGCCUCCAACCCCCCCUACCUCUUGCAUUCCGCCCUUUCCGCCCCCCUGCCUUAAGGCUGCCGCUGCCGCUGCCGCCCAGCAAAAACCCUAACCCCUCCGCCGCCGGAACUUGUUCCUCCAAGCCGCUCCUCAGGUCUCGCCGCCAUGACCUCGAAGCUUCCAGACGCUGAUGACGUCCUGCCUCGCGACCACCCGCUGAGGCGCCUCCCGGGAUCGGUUGUCUCGCGUGUUUCUGGUGGUUUCGAGAGGAUGAAGGAGGACAUCAGCGCACUGUUCAGGGGUCCUGUGUUUCCUCGUCCUCGCCCGGAUCCUCGCCCUCCACACGCACUGUUGCUCAGCCCGGCUGCCCUCUCAGUGUUGGAUGGCCCUUCCAUCUCAAGGAGUGAGAUUGAGAGGUUUAAGCUGGACCUGCAGACUGCUUUGGCGGAAGUUAACCAGUCUGUAGAAGUAUCUGCAAAAGGGAGGCUGUCUGCAUAUGACAGCAGGGAAGAGUUUGUGCAUAUCAUCAAUUUGCUUGAAGUUCACGCUACUGAUGUUAAAUAUGCCAUUGACGUUGGCAUCUCAAGUGGCAAAGUUUCAAAAGAGGGUGCUCAGGAACUGAAAUUGCUCAUUGAUCAUUUGGUUAUGUCCAUGAGGAAUGUCCACCAGUGGAAAUUAAAUCGCAGCACUUCAAAUUUAAUUGCUCUUCUUGGGUUGCCAAUGCGUUUAGGCUCCCUUGCUAAGCAGGUCACUUCGUUUGUUUAUUUUGUAAAAACAGUCCUCCUGCUUCGUGAUGUCGCAUUUCCCCCGAAGAAUGGUACUGGUUUGUUCAGAGACAUUGGUAAAAGAGCCAAAGCUGUGCUGUAUGAGGACUAUGCCACUGCAGGUUUGGGGAUGGUUCUCAACUCUGAGUCUACUGAUAAAUUGAGUAUGAUUGCUGGAUUCAAGGUGACCGAUCAGAAUAUCAUUAGCAGAUCUUUUGUCAAAUUAAAGAAUGUGAACUUGUCAGUUGACAUGAAUGCUGUCCUCAACGGGAAUUCACUUGCAACGAUUACACUUGAUGAUGCUUGGGUUUCUGAUACUAAGUGCAUUCUGUCCGUUCCGGUGCCAUGGCAGAACUCUCCCAAACUGAAUAUGAAUGCCUGGGUCAAUAUUAUGGUAUCACGGCAAGUAUCGGCUUGGAUGCUCAUCCUGUCGUUGAUUUUUCUGGUCUGUGGGGCAACAGACUUAUGUCUGCUGGUUUCCGGUUUGAAUUGAACACAGCAACGUCUACAUUAAGUAACUAUGCUGCUGGACUGACUGUGGUCCGUGAUCACUCUGCAUUUGGUGCAACAGUAAAUAACCAUGGACUCCUAACGGGAACAAUCUGGAGCGACAUCGUUCCCAAGAGGUCUUAUGUUCCUGAUCGGCUGAGGAGCUACCUUGAUCCCAUCUUGAGCUAUCUGAGCCCAGAUGUGAUAACCACCCAAGUUGGAGCCAUGUUUGACUACUGUUUUGCAAGCGUCAGGAUGCGCUGCAUGGUUGGAGUGAAUCAUGAGUUUGAUUCUGAUACUAGCCUCAAGGCCCGCAUUGACACCUCAGGUGGAGCUACUGCAAUGGUCAAGAGCAAGAUAGCGGAGAAGGCGUUUGUUUCAGUGAGCACGGAGGUGAACCUGAAUGACGUUUGGAGGCUGCCAAGAGUGGGUGUCUGCCUUUCGCUCAACCAGUGAUGGAAUGAGUGAAUGUUGGUGGCCCGCAGAAGCCUGUCUCCUUUUGUUCCUUAAUUGCCUGGAGAGUUUGAGUGAUGCCACUUGCACUUGUGGUUGUUUUCCCCUGUGCCUUGAUAACUUUUUUGCAAUGCUGGAACAUGAUGCUGAUAUCUUGGUGACAUGUUUUGCAACGCUGGAGAUUUUGUACGCUUUGUUGUUGCUGGGGCUGUUUUGGGAUUUUAACUGUCUGUCUGCCCUGUUUAUCUU